CAAAGUAUUUAGCCAUGUCCAAGAAAUGAAAUUAAUCUCAGUUUCUUUUUUUUAAGCACACUGUAUUUGCCUUCUCGGCGCAGACAGUUGGCAAAGUCGAACCGUGCUCAACUUCGCCAAUCCAUCUGGUUUGCGUUAUAUCUUGGUAAUCAGCGAUACUUUUGUUAGACAUGUUUCCAUUUGUCUGUGUUAUAGUUUGCAUCUUGAUUGCAUUGCUCUCUGCGUUUCCUACGUUGAUGUGGAAACCAGGCUGUAGCUGUCUCAUUUCUUUCAUCACAGAAUUAUGAGAAGAAUAUCUGCUUGUACCAAUCAUGGUACUUCCUGCGCUGAUGAGCACUGUGGUUUUCUGCAUGUGAGAAGAGUUCAGGCUUAUUUUGGAAGGCAAUGUUACCAGUUGAAGAUGCUGUGAUGCCUUCCUGCGUUCUGGUAAAUACAUCUGUCAUCGUGGUGAGAUUGGACUGACCAGCAACGAAAUCUUCAAAUUUAAAGAUGCGGCUUACGUCAUUGGUUGCAGAAGCUCAUUCUGUGAAUGUGUUUCUAAGACAUCAUGCGUAUGCUGGAGGAGACAUCAUGCAUAUGCAGGAGGAGACAUCAUGCAUAUGCAGGAGGAGACAUCAUGCAUAUGCAGGAGGGGACAUCAUGCGUAUGCAGGAGGGGACAUCAUGCGUAUGCAGGAGGGGACAUCAUGCAUAUGCAGGAGGAGACAUCGUGCAUAUGCUGGAGGAGACAUCAUGCAUAUGCAGGAGGAGACAUCAUGCAUAUGCUGGAUGAGACA